CCUACGGGUGGCAGCAGUGGGGGAUAUUGCUCAAUGGGGGGAACCCUGAUGCAGCGACACCGCGUGGGGGAUGAAGGGCCUCGGCGUGUAAAGCCCUGUUGGCAGGGAAGAAAAUGACGGUAUCUGACGAAGAAGCACCGGCUAACUCCGUGCCAGCAGCCGCGGUAAUACGUAGGGGGCAAGCGUUAUCCGGAAUCACUGGGCGUAAAUAGGGCGUAGGCGGGGAAGCAAGUCAGGUGUGAAAGCCUAGGGCCUAACCAUAGGACUGCAUUUGAAACUGCUAUGCUAGAGUAGGGGAGGGGUAGGCGGAAUUCCUGGUGUAGGGGUAAAAUGCGUAGAUAUCAAGAGGAACACCGAUGGCGAAGGCGGCCUGCUAGAACACAACUGACGCUGAUGCGCGAAAGCGUGGGGAGCAAACAGGAUUAGAUACCCUAGUAGUC
rnacentral:rRNA from 1 species